GGACAUGCAUUCGAUCUAGUGGGACAUCUGUCACUGCAUUGAUUGCCAGUGGUGAUUUGGGUGAUCAGGCUGGUGAAGCAGGUGGCCCCUCCCUACUUCACUGCUCCAACGGUGUACCUCUCAAAGCUUACACUAUUGGAAGGGGAUGACUGUUCCUGAUAAAAGAGGGUCAUUCUCUGGUCAGGGGUAGAGAAAUAGGAGUAUAUAGUUAGGGGUUCAUUUCCCUGCUCCAGCCUCUAUACAAACUCUUGAAGUCAAUUACCCAUGACUGCUAUUUACUCUGCUUUCAA
rnacentral:snRNA from 1 species